GUUGGUAUCUCAGAACGAGUCAACCGCGUCCAAGCAUCCAGGGCGCAGCAUGACCGACGUCAGUCCACAAGUACCAUUGCUGGACCGCAGCACUUGAACUGCAAACAAAUAAACAUGGAUGAUACAAGUAGUUCCAUUUGCUUUCCGCGGCUCCAACUUACGGUGCGCUGCAUGGUGUCCAGGAGAAUGCUGUCCGUCUUGCGCUGCUGCCAAAUAGUCUCCACAAUUUUCUCCAGGGAUUGCUGGAUCUGUACAUAGUCCACCCAAACGUAGAUGAUCAAAACCAGCUGACUGAUCAGCAGGACCAUCAUCACACUGGAGUACUGCGAUGAGGAAGUAAAAUGGGUUACAUUUAUUCGAUGUUUAAGUAAUAAAUUUCAACUUACCGUGGUCAGACAACAAG